GGUCCGCUGGCUCAAUGGCAGAGCGUCUGACUACGAUGAGUAAUCAGGAGGUUCCAGGUUCGACCCCUGGGUGGAUCG